rnacentral:rRNA from 1 species
GGGCCUACGGGACGCAGCAGUGGGGGAUAUUGCACAAUGGGGGGAACCCUGAUGCAGCGACGCCGCGUGGGCGAUGGAGUGCUUCGGCAUGUAAAGCCCUAUCAGCAGGGAAGAAAAUGACGGUACCUGACUAAGAAGCCCCGGCUAAAUACGUGCCAGCAGCCGCGGUAAUACGUAUGGGGCAAGCGUUAUCCGGAUUUACUGGGUGUAAAGGGAGCGUAGGCGGCCUGGCAAGCCUGAUGUGAAAUCUGGGGGCUUAACCCCCAAACUGCUUUUGAAACUGUGGGUCUUGAGUGAUGGAGAGG